AGUUCCCCCAGGCUCAAAACCAGCACACUACCGAACUAAAUAGUAUUUUUUGACUAGUAAACCACCUCUGGUUGGUCACACUACUUAGUUGCUCACACUACUUAGUAAGGAAGUAUACGAGGAAGACGGCAAACCAUUUGACAGCCUAAGGCUCUGUGAAAAAAAGUUUCCACAGGCGAAACGUUGUAGACAGAAGCGGAAGCGUUUUGUGACGUCACAAAAAAUUGCUGUUAUCUCUUUCUGUUCCUCCUCCCCUCCUCCUAUCCUCCUCCUCCUCCUUCUCCUCCCCUUCAUUCUCUUUCACUAAACAGGAGGUUCUUUCACUGAAAGGAACAUGAGAUACUGAAUGUAGCCCAGCAAAAUUGCCAAGGACACCGGACGUGAAGAUUUCAGACGUGACUUCCAGGCUCUGCUGUAGCCUUUUAGUGCAGCUUCAGUCAGACGAAGACCUGCGUGUCCAAAUUCCUCUUUCUCAGUCUUUGGCGUCUUGAUCCACUAGAGUCCAUUCAGGAUCUAUUUAGCAGCCUUUCAGCACACUAAACUCUGGUAUCCUGUGCCGAAUUCCUCUCUUCCUCUCUGCGUGACCUGCGUUACCUGUCCUCCAUCCGUUCCCCUUCAGGCUCUGCUGGAGCCACGUGCAUCCAUCA